GGAGGACCACGUCUCUAUGGUGUGCCGGGGGCCGCGCGGGCCGGGAGUUGGGUGGGCUGGGGGACAGGCGGGCCCGCGCCGCCCGCUCCAGCUGGGCUAGUGCUGCACAUUCCGGCCAGCCCCUCCUCAAGACCCCAUUCCCAAGCCCCUUCUCAGCUCCCUCAGGCCGGCAGAGCGGCUCUGAUCAGUAAAAUGCUGUUGAAGGCCCACGGGCAUGACUGCACCCCUCACUAAUUGGUCAUUGGUUUGGGGAGGACACCACUGUCCCAAUGGAACCUUGAGCACACCUUGGAGCCCUCCUCUUCCUCUCCGGACCUGCGCCAAACUGUGAGUGGCACAGAGCAAGGGCUGUAUGUGUUCUCUUCUUUGUUGCAUACUCAGUUCCUUCACCACAGUGCCAAGCACACAGCGAGCACUCCCUGUGUAUCUGCUGAGUAAAUAAACGAAUGAACAAACCCAACACAUUUCAGCCAAGUCCUGCUGAUGUUUCUCCUCCAAUCCAGCUCCUCCUUUCCAGCCUUACUUCUGCCACUCCAGAUUUCACCCCCAUCAGCUUCAGACUGGAUGAAAGGAAACCAUUUCUCUAAAGGAUCACUUGCUCUCUCAUUUCAGGCCAUCCUGCAGCCACCAGAACCUUCCACAUGAAAUGAAAGGCUCACCACUUCAUAGGCUUUAAGGAAAUUCUUGGCCAGGUGUGGUGCCUCACUCCUGUAAUCCCAGUGCUUUAAGAGGCCAAGAUGGGAGGAUUGUUUGAGCCAGGUGUUUGAGACCAGCCUGGGCAACGUCGUAAGACCCCAUCUCUACAAAAAAAAAAAAAAAAAAUUGGCUGGGUGCGGUGGCUCAUGUCUGUAAUCCCAGCAAUUUUGGAGGCUGAGGCGGGUGGAUCACUUGAGGUCAGGAGUUCGAGACCAGCCUGGCCAACAUGGUGAAACCCCGUCACUACUAAAAAUACAAAAAUUAGCCAGGCAUGGCGGCAGGUGCCUGUAAUCCCAGCUACUUGCGAGGCUGAGGAAGAAGAUUUGCGUGAACCUAGGAGGUGGAGGUUGCAGUGAGCCAAGAUCAUGCUGCUGCACUCCAGCCUGGGCAACAGAGUGAGACUCCAU
rnacentral:lncRNA from 1 species